AAGUUAAACAGAGUUUUUUGGAGGGGAAGAUUUUUUAAGAACUUUUACCAGCUUGGGCUAUUUGGGAGAUUAAAGAAGACCACACUCCACAGUGGGCUAUAUCACCAAACAUAUAGUACACUACUAUUUUGUAGCCUAGAUU